GUGGGGAAUAUUGGACAAUGGGCGAAAGCCUGAUCCAGCCAUGCCGCGUGUGUGAAGAAGGUCUUCGGAUUGUAAAGCACUAUAAGUUGGGAGGAAUGGCAGUAAGUUAAUACCUUGCUGUUUUGACGUUACCAACAGAAUAAGCACCGGCUAACUUCGUGCCAGCAGCCGCGGUAAUACGAAGGGUGCAAGCGUUAAUCGGAAUUACUGGGCGUAAAGCGCGCGUAGGUGGUUCAGCAAGUUGGAGGUGAAAUCCCCGGGCUCAACCUGGGAACUGCCUCCAAAACUACUGAGCUAGAGUACGGUAGAGGGUAGUGGAAUUUCCUGUGUAGCGGUGAAAUGCGUAGAUAUAGGAAGGAACACCAGUGGCUAAGGCGACUACCUGGACUGAUACUGACACUGAGGUGCGAAAGCGUGGGGAGCAAACAGGAUUAGAAACCCCGGUAGUCC
rnacentral:rRNA from 1 species